AUGCGCAUGAAGGGUCAUGGUGCGAAUGACUUUCCGUACGACGUGCGAUACGAGCCGUACAUUGCAAGAUUGGGUCUUCUCCCCUUUGUAUUGCAAUUCAGGCGAGCCCCACCACCGAUGAACCAUGCAGCGCUCACCGCACUUACGGAUCGUUGGAGGCCCGAGACACACUCUUUCCACCUUGCUUGUGGGGAGAUGACGAUGACCCUAGAGGACAUGGCCAUGAUAAGCGACCUUCCUAUCAACGGCUUAGCUGUUACGGGUCAUGUUAGUGCCGUUAACUGUCGAGCUCGGUUUGGUGAUUUAAUUGGUGUUCAGCCCCCUCUUCCUUUGUCAGGCAAGGCUGGUAGCUCUAAAGUGAAGCAUUCCCGGCUAAAAGAAGUCACAUGAGCAAACAACCUGUGCCCUGCGGAUGCCGAUGAGAUGGUUGUGCAGCAGUAUGCUCGGGUCUAUCUUUGGUACGUACUAACCAAAGUGCUCUUCACAGACGCAACUGGGAACUCAUCCCUCUGGAUGUAUUUGGAGCUACUCACGGAGUGGAUACUCAGUAUAGCUGGGGUUCAGCAGCACUAGCAUACUUGUAUCGUCAGUUGGAUCGGGCGUCAACGAGGACAGAAGACACAUCUUCAUUGUGCAGGUUUGUGUGAAGCCUCUCUGUAUGGAUGUCGGAGCGGUUGUCGGUUGGACGGCCCGUGAUAAAAAAAACGAUAAUCCAAACCCCCAAACCUCAUGAAGGGCUUCAUGAUCAAGAUCCAUAUCGCCGCCCCACAAUUGUCUAUUGUUGGGAUCAGGUGUCUAUUUACACCGGAAGCUCUCAUGUGCGAUACAAGUGUUAUGUUAACGAGCUGGACACCUUAACUACUGAGGAGGUUUUUUGAUGGCCUUAUGAGAAUGAUUAUGAUUUCAACCUCAACGAGAUGUGCACGCGUGAUAAUCUUCUUUGGCGGGCGAGGUGUCCAAUGAUAUUCUUUUACACUGUCGAGUGGCACUUUGUAGACCGUGUUGCGAGGCAAUUUGGAAAACUACAAGGUAUUCCAAUUGAGGAGAGCAAGGAGACAAUCACAAAGCUACAUAGGUUCAGUCGAAGGAACAAUUAGGAUAUAUCGGAUUGGGCGAACAAACACAAUCAAUAGAUAGCAAUGUGGAAUCAGGGAGAGACGUUAGUGGAGUUAGAGAAUAGACCCCGCAAUGACUCAACAUACCAAAAAUAGCUUGUGUGGUAUGGGCACCGUUACCGGUUGAAGCUUAAGCCCGGUUGGACUCAAGUGGAGUGGUCCGAGUUGGUGUCGGAAGACCCAUCAGCUGCAGAAGGUUAUCAUUCCUUCAACAUGGAUGUGCGAGAGACCGUAGGGAGUCAAGUUGACUACGCACCCA